rnacentral:sRNA from 1 species
UCCGAUUCUCUCAGACCUCGCACUCACUCCCUGAAUAUCCUCUCAUAUCUCAUUUUAGGCCUCAAUAAGGCGCCAUCUCCGUCCAUCGACUCUCCCCACUUUCUUGUUCUCCUUCCUACCCCUACUGGACUCAACUCCUUGAGACUCAUGGUGAGUGAUCGACCUCGACUGUGUCGACAUCACAGCAACUAGCCACCAUCACCAUCGUGGCAUCGUUUCUUGACUCUCCUCCGGUCCUUCCAAUCGUGAGUUCUGGCCACCACCACACCAUCCUCGCCGUUGAGAACACCACCAUCAUCCUGCAAAUCCCUGGGUUGACCUUUUGAAGAGUAAGCUUAACUUUGAUGAAGCUUUCAAUUACAAGGAAGAGCAUGACUUGAACGCAACUCUGAAAUGGUACUUUCCGAAAGGCAGUGACAUAUACUUUGAGAAUGUUGAAGGGAAAUUUCUUGACGCAGUCCUCCUUAACAUGAGAAUCCACGG